AAAAAAGUUAUGUCUUUAGAAGGAGGAAAUAAGUAAAUGUUUAAAAGUAAUGAAAAGAAUCUUAUCUGAAAGUACGUGACCACUUUAAUGAAUCAUGACAUGCAUUUGGACUGAACGUUUGAUCCUUCUAAGUUGUCCGAAUCUCAUGAAACAAUGUUGUACCUUUCAGUCUAUAGCCUGACUUCUAUCUUGAUUGUGCUCAUGCCAAGACGGAAUGUCAUCAUUUUGAUCAAUGGUGCCC
rnacentral:lncRNA from 1 species